AUAGAUAUUGUGAUAUCCCAAAAUAUCCGUGUUCCGACCAGGAACAAACUUUAUCUUCACCUGCAACUAGCAACGCUAUAAGAGGGGCUGAGCAAAGCGGUAACAUAGCCAAACAACGGUUUGCUAGGACAUGGAUGGUUAGAGGUUGACAUGGCAAUAUGGGUGGCAUGAUAUAGCAAGUGGUAGGUAUCGCAGCAUAGGCGUAGCAAAAGAGCGAGCAUCUAGCAAGCAAAGAUAGAAGUGAUAUCGAAGGUAUGGUCAUCUUGCCUGCAAGGUUCUUAGAGUUGUCGAAGGCUUGAUCCUCGUAGGCGUUCUCAACAGGUUCCUCGUACACGUACUCGUCUCCCGGCUCUACCCAAAGCAAGAAGACAAGCAACGGAACCACAAUCAAACAAGGAACAAUGCACAAGCAAUAUGAUGCAAAACAUGACAUGCUAUGCGAGAAGUGAUAUGCAAUGCAUAUGUGUGCUCCGGGAGGAGAAUGAUGAACCGGGCAUCAACUUGGCAAACCAAGUAUGCCGCUGGAAAGAUGGGAUGAUUUCGGUUGAAAUCGAUAUAAAGAUCACCGGAAUAGGAUGCACGGUUUGCAAAUGGCAAGCAAAACAAUAAUGACACAAAUCUGCGUUUAACAGCACGAUGCUACUUAGCAUGCAACAAGAAACUAUGCUACAGCACCCCAACAUAAAAACAAAGCAUAUGGCAAUGAUCUACAGGAGAUGCUUAACAAAAGAGGAACACUGAGCCAUGGCUAAAUCACAUCAUAACAGGUUCAAACAAGCAUGGUGAAAGUGCAAAAAAAAUAUCAGGUUCACAGACUUAGUGAAAAUACUAGUAUGCCAGAAAUUAACAUCAGGAAGGCAUGUUUAGAGCAAGCAAACGACAUGCUACAGGAACUUAUAAUAGCAAAACAAGGCAUGACAUGAUUCUACUCAAAGCAUAGAUCAAUAGUCCCUUACUGACCAUAAGCUAAAAAGGACUAGAGGAUAUGAUGGCACCCAUGUAAACAUAGCAAGUUUUAUUACAGAUCUCAGACUUAGCAGAAAAACUGGACAUGGCAAAAACAGAUUCAACAUGGCAUCUUCGUGAGCUCGAUGCACUCACUACAGAGCAUCUCAAGAUAAACUAAGCAUACACCCAUCAAGAAGACAUGGCAUAGAAGCUAUACAUGGCAAGAACAACAUCAUAGCAUACACGGAUCAACUACAACGACCUCGUGAAAAUUGAAUCUCAUGCGAACAAUCUGCCAGGAAACAUUUUCAAGCAAAAGUAGAGCACGAAAAUGACAUGCUAGACUACUCCAUAAAUGCCAACAAAGGCAUGGAUGGAUAGAGCAUCCAUAUGUUCAAAACACCCUUACUGAUCAUGCUCAAAAAGGGCAUAGAUCUCUCUGUAACAACAUGAACAUAUGGCAUAAAAAUAACAGCAGGACAAGACUUAGUGAAAACACUAAGUUCCUGAAAUCAGCAACAUUAUCAUCCCUAGUUUGCAUGCUUGUUCUAGUCACCACAUAACUCACAAAAAUACAUGGCAUACACCCCUGGAAAGAUGGCAUGGCAUAGUUCAACACACAUGUAGGACUCAAGUUCAUAAGGUGCACACAUAAAUCAUGGCAAAAAUGACAAAAGAGCUCGUGCUGAUAAGAUUCUGGAACUAACGAUCUGAAGCCCUCUUCCAACAGCAUUUCGGGCAUCAAGAUGAGCUCAAAUGCAAAUGAUGCAAUGGAAUGAAAUGAUGUACUCUUCGAGUCGAACAAUUUGACAUAUUAUACGCACGAAACGGAGUUACGGGUGCGAAGAUGUGAUGCGGUGAACAUGUGAUGAUUUUAUCACAGGAAAAUGACUUAGAGAAAAACGAGGGGGAGAGAGAAAAGUCAACCGCAGCGGUGCCCGAUCGGAUCUGGCCGGAGUCGCUGCUCGAGGUCGCCGGAGUCGACGGCGGCCGGAGCGCUGGAGGCGGGGGGAGGUGCGGCCGGGCUGGAGAGGAAGGAGAGGCCGGAGGGGACCGGCGGCGGAGGGCGAGGCUGGGCAUGGCUGGGCGGCGCGGGGCGCAACGGCGGCCAGAACGGCGGCGGGGCGGAGCCGCNNNNNNNNNNNNNNNNNNNNNNNNNNNNNNNNNNNNNNNNNNNNNNNNNNNNNNNNNNNNNNNNNNNNNNNNNNNNNNNNNNNNNNNNNNNNNNNNNNNNNNNNNNNNNNNNNNNNNNNNNNNNNNNNNNNNNNNNNNNNNNNNNNNNNNNNNNNNNNNNNNNNNNNNNNNNNNNNNNNNNNNNNNNNNNNNNNNNNNNNNNNNNNNNNNNNNNNNNNNNNNNNNNNNNNNNNNNNNNNNNNNNNNNNNNNNNNNNNNNNNNNNNNNNNNNNNNNNNNNNNNGGGCCUGGCGCGGCCGGCGGCGGUGGGCGGCGGCGGAGCCCAUGUGGCGCGGCCCGAUUGGCUGCGGGCGGCGGCGGACGUGUCCGGCGAGGGCGGACGAUGUCCGGCGCGCGGAGAGGACGAAUUUCUAGGGUUUCAUCCGGAUUUUCGGGGGAGGGGUCUUUAAAUAGGCAUAGAGGGAGUUAGGAGAGUCCAAAUGGGGUGCGGUUUUCGCCCACAGGAUCGUGAUCGAAUGACCGAGAGCAUGGAAGGGAGUUAGAUGUGUUAUUGGGCUGAUUUGGAGGGGUGUUGGGCUGCAACUUAAAAGAGGCCUUUGCGAGAGUGCGGUUAACCGUUGGAGUACCAAACGAGCUCCAAAUGACCCGAAACUUGACAGGUGGUCUACCGGUGCUAUACCAGGGCCACUUGGCAAGGCUCGGUCCAUUCCGAGAAUGUUCAACACCCGCACACGGAAAAAUGUAAAAGGGGACGCCGGGGAACAUAGGAGUGCCGGAUUGCAAAACGGACAACGGGGAAAAAGCUCGGAAUCAUGAGACGAACACAUAUGCAAAUGAGAUGCACAUGAUGACAUGAUAUGAGAUGCAUGACAUGGACAAAAUGCAAAACGACAACAAAACCCAACCACGGAGGGAAUAUCAUAGCACAUAUCCGAAAAUGGCAAGAGUUGGAGUUACAAAUAUGGAAAGAUACAUCUGGGGUGUUACAACACUCCACCACUACAAGAGGAUCUCGUCCCGAGAUCUAGGACUGAAAGAACUCCGGAUAUUCGGAACGGAGGUGAUCCUCGCGUUCCCAGGUGGCUUCUCGGUCGGAAUGGUGUGACCACUUUACUUUCAGGAAUUUGAUUGACUUGUUGCGAGUCUUGCGCUCGGUUUCUUCAAGAAUAGCAACGGGGUGCUCAUGAUAAGAGAGAUCUUCUUGGAGGUCAAUUUCUUCAAAGUUGAUAGUGCGUUCAGGAAUCUUGAAGCACUUGCGGAGCUGUGACACGUGAAACACAUCGUGCACGUUUGCAAAGUUGGAUGGAAGCUCAAGUUGAAAGGCGAGAUCGCGUCUUUUGCCAAUGAUCUUGAAAGGACCCACGUAUCUAGGGGCAAGCUUCCCUUUGAUACCGAAACGACGAGUGCCUUUCAUUGGAGAGACGCGGAGGUAGACAUGGUCUCCGAUUUCAAAAGCCACAUCACGGUGCUUGUCAUCAUAAUAGCCCUUCUGGCGCGAUUGCGCGGCUUUAAGAUUCUCACGAAUGACUUUGCACAUUUCUUCGGCUUCUGUGAUCAAGUCGUUGCCAAGAAGUUGGCGUUCACCUGUCUCGGACCAAUUGAGAGGAGUACGGCACUUUCUGCCAUAGAGAAUUUCGAAUGGGGCCUUGCCCGAACUCGCUUGGAAGCUGUUGUUGUAGGAGAACUCGGCAUAUGGAAGACACUGUUCCCACUUCAUGCCAAAGGAAAUGACACAAGCCCUGAGCAUAUCUUCAAGGAUUUGAUUGACUCGCUCGACUUGGCCACUUGUUUGAGGAUGGAAAGCUGUGCUGAAACGAAUGUUGGUGCCCAUGGCCUUCUGAAAGGAGUCCCAGAACUUAGAAGUGAAGAUGCUUCCACAGUCUGAAGAGAUCAAUUGUGGAAUACCAUGCAAGGAGACAAUUCUGGAGGUGUAUAGCUCUGCCAGCUGAGCUGCUGUGAUAGAUUCUUUGACAGGAAGAAAAUGAGCCACUUUAGUGAGCUUGUCAAUGACAACGAAGGUAGCAUCAUUUCCACGCUUGGACUUAGGAAAACCAGUCACGAAGUCCAUCUCGAUAUGAUCAAACUUCCAUUCCGGAAUAGCAAGAGGUUGGAGGAGACCAGCUGGUCUUUGGUGUUCUGCUUUCACCCUUCUGCAGACAUCACAUUCAUUCACGAAUUGAGCAAUUUCUCGCUUCAUUCGAGUCCACCAAAACGACUGCUUGAGGUCAUGGUACAUCUUCGUACUUCCAGGAUGAAUGGAUAGAAGAGAAUUGUGUGCCUCAUUCAUGAUGACUUUUCUCAGAUCGCCUUUAGGAACCACAAUACGGUCCUCAAAGAAAAGAGUAUCUUUGUCAUCCAAGCGAUAGCACUUGUAUUUGGAAAUGCCCUUGUCAAUACCACGUUUCACCUUCUUCACCAUGGUAUCCAGGAGUUGUGCCUCAUGAAUUUGAUCUUCCAAAGUAGGGGAGACUAUGAGGUUGGCAAGAAAGCCUUGAGGAACAACUUGAAGAUUCAGCUUGCGGAAAGCUUCACAAAGAUCCGGUUGGAAGGGCUUGAGAAUUAAGCUGUUGCAAUAAGCCUUUCUGCUCAGAGCAUCUGCAAUCACAUUCACCUUGCCAGGAGUAUAUUCAAUACUUGGAUUGUACUCUUGAAUCAUUUCGACCCAUCGAGUUUGCCUGAGGUUGAGGUUUGGUUGAGUGAAGAUAUACUUGAGACUCUUGUGAUCGGUGAAAAUGUCCACUUUCCUUCCCAACAAGAGAUGUCUCCAUGUUAUCAAUGCAUGGACAACUGCCGCCAACUCAAGAUCAUGAGUGGGGUAGUUCUUUUCGUUGGGCUUCAACUGACGAGAGGUAUAGGCCACAACCUUCUUCUCUUGCAUUAACACAGCACCGAGACCUUGCAAGGAAGCAUCACAGAAAACUUCGAAUGGCUUGGAUUCAUCAGGAGGAGUCAAGACAGGAGCUGUGACUAGCUUCUCUUUGAGGGUGUUGAAAGCGACAUCACACUCAGGCGUCCAGACAUACUUGACAUGCUUCUGGAGGAGGUUGGGAAGGGGCUUUGCAAUCUUGGAGAAGUUCUCAACGAAUCUUCGACAAUAGCUUGCAAGACCGAGAAAACUGCGGAGCUGCUUGACAUUCUAAGGAGGUUCCCAAUCCAAAACCGCAGAAACCUUCGCCGGAUUAACAGCAAUUCCCUUGGCGGAGAUGAUAUGACCAAGAUAAAGAACUUCAUCAAGCCAGAACUCACAUUUGGAAAACUUCGCAUAGAAUUGAUGCUCUCUGAGCUUGUCGAGCACCAAUCGCAAAUGUUUGGCAUGAUCCUGCUUGUUCUUGGAGAAGACCAAAAUAUCAUCGAGAUACACCAAGACGAAAUCAUUGGUGUAGGGGUUGAAGAUAAAGUUCAUCAUGCGAGAGAAAGUUAGAGGAGCAUUGACAAGGCCGAAAGACAUGACAGUAUAUUCAUAAGAACCAAAGCUUGUUCUGAAUGCUGUCUUGGGAAUAUCUUGUUCACGAAUGCGAAUCUGAUGAUAACCCAUACGAAGGUCAAGCUUGGAGAAUACUUUGGCACCUUUGAGUUGCUCGAAAAGCUCAUUGAUGUUGGGAAGUGGAUACUUGUUCUUGAUUGUCUUCUUGUUCAAUGGACGGUAAUCAACACAAAGUCGGUCCAUGCCAUCCUUCUUCUGGACAAAAAGAACUCCACAUCCCCAUGGAGAUGAACUCGGUCUGAUCAAGCCCAGACGCUCUUGUUCAUCGAGCUGCUUCUUCAAUUCUUUCAGCUCCUUGGGUCCAAGCUUGUAAGGACGCUUGCAAACAGGUUCAGUGCCAGGCUCAAGAUCGAUAACAAAUUCGACUGGCCGAUGAGGAGGCAUACCCGGAAGCUCUUCUGGAAAGACAUCUUGGCACUCACAAACGACUGGAAUUUGCGAGAUAGCAUCCAAUUCGCCCUUCUCAUUGAGAGAAAACAACCGAAUGGUUUCAUCACGAGCGGCAUAGAUGAUAAUAUCCUCAGAAGAGUGUGUCAAUUGAAUCUGCCUGGCAGCACAAUCAAGUUGAGCCUUGUGCUGAGAAAGCCAGUCCAUCCCAAGAAUUAGAUCAAUAUCAGAGUCGCCAAGAACCAUUGGAGAAGAUAGAAAUCUAUAGUCGCCCAUCUUGAUAGAAACAUCCGGAGCCAUCAUCUUGGUGUUCAUGAAUAAACCCGGAGAGGAAACCGCUAUCGGCUUAGGCAGAUCAACAGUAUGCAAAUCGUGCAUGGAUGCAAAAGGCUUUGAUAUGAAUGAAAUAGAAGCACCCGUAUCAAAUAAAACUUUUGCAGGAAUAUCAUUAACUGGAAGAUUACCCAUAAUCACAUCAGUAGAUUCCUCUGCUUGCGCUGCAUUCAUCAUGUUCACCUUUGCAGAUUUGGGAUUAUGCUUGACCACUGCAUUGCUUGAAGACCUCACAGGAGGAGGAGGAGGAAGGCGCCUUUGGUUUAAGCAUUUGUUCGCAUAGUGACCCUUCUGCUGGCACUUGUUGCAGGUCACCUCUGAGAGCGGACGGUGAUAAGGAGCAUUUGACCUUGGAGCUUGAGGCUGAGACUUGUUCUGGUAGCUUGGGUUGGGUGGGUGGGACGAUCCACGACCACCUGAGUUCUUCUGCUGAUAAGGCUGACGGAAUGGAGGAGGAGGAAGGUAGAACUUUUGCUGCUUAGCUGCGCCUUGAGAGGAAGAAGAAGACUGAGCUGCAUCCCUGAUUCUUUUCUUAGAAGCCUCACACUUGAGCUGAGCACCUUCUUGCUUGAGUGCCAUAUUGUAGAAUUGAUCAAACUAAGUAGGCUCAACAAGAACGAGAGCUAACUGCAGAUCCUCUCUAAGGCCACCUCUGAACUGAUAGAUCAUACUCUUUUCGUCAGGAACGUCUUGUUUAGCGAAGCGAGCAAGUUUCUGAAACUGUAUGUUGUAUUCGUACACUGACAUGUUUCCUUGCUUGAGAUUGCGGAACUCCUCACGCUUGCUCUCAACAACACUGGUAGGAAUGCGGUGAGCUUUAAAGUCCCGACAGAAAUCAGUCCAAGUAAUCACUCGACCACCUCUGGAAUCCUUGUAUUGCUGGAACCAAUCAGCUGCCUGAUCCUUGAGCUGAAAAGACGAGAACUUGACGUAGUCCUCAGGUCUGACAUUGCUGCAUUCGAAAUGCUUGUUCAUAUCCACGAGCCAAUCGUCGACGUCUGUGGCCUCGGCACAGUAGCUGAAAGACUUUGGCUGAUUUGCAAGGAAUUGGUUGAGUGUAGGAAACUGAGGCUGAUGGUAGAACUGCCCUUGACCUUGAUUCCCUUGGUUGCCUUGGCCUUGGUUACGCUCUCGCAUCAGCUGAAUCAACAACUGAGCGUUGGCGUUAGUGGUUGCCAUCAAAGUUUGCCAUGCCUCCGGAGGCGGAGGUGAAGGUGGAGGGUUCGCCUGACUCCCAUCACUGCGUUCCGGAUUCUGACGCGUAGGCGGAGCCAUCCUGAAGAGGGUGACAUCCGUUAGCAUCUUGAUAGACAGAUAGACAAGUUGAAUCAACAGAUAGAAAUUGCAACAUAUAGUCUUCACAAUAAACAUUCAAAACAGGGAUGAACGAAUGAAUUCCAAAGUAAACAUCACGUCCAUUAAGGUGAGAAGCCACUUGAUAAGAGAUUGAUGAAUGAAAAUAAAAACAAGGUAUGAAUGGAACAAAUAAGUGGUAAGGAUUACCCAAUCACAAACCAAAUAUCUGCGGAAGAAAUGCUAGAGCUACUUGAAUCCCACCUAUAAACUCCCGAAACUUUCCGGUUAUGCAAUCAGGUGUUGGGGAUACAGGGGAAGCAAUAUAUCUCACCCAAACUAACAAUCCCUACAUCCAGCUGUAUCCAUCCUUCAACACAUAACCAAGAAACCUUCGGAAAUCGUGUACCUCAACCUUCGAAAAUCAUCCGUUAUACGAGUCAUGGCAAUACUCCCGUACUCACCUCAGUACUGGGUUAGCGGGGUUAUCUCACCAACGAACUGCAUAAAAGAGAUUUUCGAUGUCGGCGUACUAAACUCAGGUAUUCCAGAACUGCAACGAUAAAAUUAUGACGACAACACCUCAGAGCUCAACUCCCCGGGACACUUCCACUAAACCCCUGACAGGAGGCACCAAGACAAUGUUCUCAUCAUAAAACCAUCGGAACGAUUCCAAGAUACCCGCGUGAUCCUAAAUUUUUUUUAGUGAAAUUUGAGGAGAGGAAAGUCAAAACUUCUGCGUCAGGAUGCCUCACCAGAGCGACGAAGGGACUGAGGAGUAAAAAGAAUUCCUAACUCUCCGAUAUAUAUAAUCUUAAAUGACUCAAAACAUUUUUCUAGACACAACUCGGCCGCUAAAAACGAUCAAGCAGUGGGGGCUCCUAAGGUCGGGGAUGGCUCUGAUUACCAACUUGUAACGCCCUCGAUGCGGCUAUAUCUCCCACGUGUCGAAGCACGACUUAGAGGCAUAACCGCAUUGAAAGCAAUGUCGCACGUGAGGUAAUCUUCGCACAAUCCAUGUAAUACAUAAGGGAAAAGAUACAUAGUCGGCUUACAGUCGCCACUUCACACAAUACAUAAAUAAACAUCCAUCAUUCAGUUUACAAUCAAGGUCCGACUACGGAACCAAAAUAAAAGAAGACUACCCCAAAUGCAACACAGAUCCCCGAUCGCCCCAACUGGGCUCCACUACUGAUCGUCUGGAAAUGAAACAUAGUAAUGACCAAGGGCCUCAUCAAAUUCCCACUUCAGCUCAGUUGCGCCCUCUGCGCUGGUAUCAUCGGUACCUGCAUCUGUUUUGGUAGAAUUUGUGAGCCACGGGGACUCAGCAAUCUCACACCCGCGAGAUCAAGACUAUUUAAGCUUAAGGGAAGGCUGGUGUAAUGAGGUGGAGCUGCAGCAAGCGACUAGCAUAUAUGGUGGCUACGAUCGCAAAAGAGAGCGAGAAGAGAAGCAAGGCACGGUCGUGAAGCUAGUAGCGAUCAAGAAGUGAUCCUGCAACUACUUACGUCAAACAUAACUCCAACACCGUGUUCACUUCCCGGACUCCGCCGAGAAGAGACCAUCACGGUAACACACUCGGUUGAUGUAUUUUAAUUAAGGUCAACUUCGGGUUUUCUACAACCGGACAUUAACAAAUUCCCAUCUGCCACAUAACCGCGGGCACGGCUCUCGAAAGUUUAUACCCUGCAGGGGUGUCCCAACUUAGCCCAUGACAAGCUCUCGCGAUCAACGAAGAAAUAGACCUUCUCCCGAGACACUCCGACCAGACUCGGUAUCCCGGUACAUCAAGACAUUUCGACAAUGGUAAAACAAGACCAGCAAAGCCGCCCGAUGUGCCGACAAAUCCCGAUAGGAGCUGCACAUAUCUCGUUCUCAGGGCACACAGGAUGAGCAAGACGACGGGUUGGCAUAGACCCUGGUUGCCCAGGGGGCGCCGGNNNNNNNNNNCGGAAAGAGACCAUCACGGUUACACACACGGUUGAUGUAUUUUAAUUAAGAUCAACUUCGGGUUUUCUACAACCGGACAUUAACAAAUUCCCAUCUGCCACAUAACCGCGGGCACGGCUCUCGAAAGUUUAUACCCUGCAGGGGUGUCCCAACUUAGCCCAUGACAAGCUCUCGCGAUCAACGAAGGAAUAGACCUUCACCCAGGAAGACCCGAUCAGUCUCGGAAUCCCGGUACAUCAAGACAUUUCGACAAUGGUAAAACAAGGCCAGCAAAGCCGCCCGAUGUGCCGACAAAUCCCGAUAGGAGUCGCACGUACCUCGUUCUCAGGGCACACCGGAUAGGUCAGCCUACGAGUAAAACCAGCCCUCGAGUUGCCCCGAGGUGGCCCCGCAGUCUGCCCGUUUCGGACCAACACUCGAAGGAGCACUGGCCCGGGGGGGAGCUAAAAUAAAGAUGACCCUCGGGCUCCGGAAACCCAAGGGAAAAAAGGGCUAGGUGAGGCAAAUGGUAAAACCAAGGUUGGGCCUUGCUGGACAAGUUUUAUUCAAAGCGAACUGUCAGGGGGGUCCCAUAAAUCACCCGACCGCGUAAGGAACGCAAAAUCCGGGAACAUAACACCGGUAUGACGGAAACUAGGGCGGCAAUAGUGGAACAAAACACCAGGCAUAAGGCCGAGUCUUCCACCCUUUACCAAGUAUAUAGAUGCAUUAAUUAAAACAAUAGAUAUUGUGAUAUCCCAAAAUAUCCGUGUUCCGACCAGGAACAAACUUCAUCUUCACCUGCAAGUAGCAACGCUAUAAGAGGGGCUGAGCAAAGCGGUAACAUAGCCAAACAACGGUUUGCUAGGACAUGGAUGGUUAGAGGUUGACAUGGCAAUAUGGGUGGCAUGAUAUAGCAAGUGGUAGGUAUCGCAGCAUAGGCAUAGCAAAAGAGCGAGCAUCUAGCAAGCAAAGAUAGAAGUGAUAUCGAAGGUAUGGUCAUCUUGCCUGCAAGGUUCUCAGAGUUGUCGAAGGCUUGAUCCUCGUAGGCGUUCUCAACAGGUUCCUCGUACAUGUACUCGUCUACCGGCUCUACCCAAAGCAAGAACACAAGCAACGGAACGACAAUCAAACAAGGAACAAUGCACAAGCAAUAUGAUGCAAAACAUGACAUGCUAUGCGAGAAGUGAUAUGCAAUGCAUAUGUGUGCUCCGGGAGGAGAAUGAUGAACCGGGCAUCAACUUGGCAAACCAAGUAUGCCGCUGGAAAGAUGGGAUGAUUUCGGUUGAAAUCGAUAUAAAGAUCACCGGAAUAGGAUGCACGGUUUGCAAAUGGCAAGCAAAACAAUAAUGGCAUAAAUCUGCGUUUAACAGCACGAUGCUACUUAGCAUGCAACAAGAAACUAUGCUACAGCAGCCCAACAUAAAAACAAAGCAUAUGACAAUG
rnacentral:lncRNA from 1 species